CCAUCCUGAAACCUUGUAACCCAGGAGGCCCAAGGUAGCCGAAUUCCUUCUGUCCCGCACCCUCACCGCCUUCUGCAAAGAAGGAACGUUCCAUUGCUAGGGACUGAACGUUGGGAGCAACACGAAACUCAGAAGAGCGCCAGGGUUUGCAGGAGAAGCCAAGCGGUUCUGAGCCCGGGAGCCACAGAAGUCAAGUCCAGUCCAGUGUUCGCUGGGCAGCCCUUGGGCUGUGUGAUGAGUUAGGAUACGCUGCCCACCUGACUUUUCAAGUUCAGGACUUUCCUAGGGGAUGAGAAGGCAGGGUACUCGCCUCAUCUACUCUAUUACGCUUCUCCUGCUCGAUGGAUGGAACCACCAGAUCCCCACACUGUGCAGGCAAAGCCAGUCCCAGCCAUGAAACAUGACACCUGUGAAGAUUUUUGACUGGAGGACUGUUACCCAUUAACCCAGGCCCUUUCAAUACAGUCAGCAAGGGGAACUUCCCCCACCAGGGAUGAAACCUGUGCCCCCUGCAGUGGAAGCUCAGAGUCUUAACCACUGGACCACCAGAUAUUGCUUAAACAGAACAAAGUCCAGAGAAACCUUGAUUUAACCAAAUCAAAUUCCUGUGCCAAGGUCAACAAACCAAGAUCAUUUAAAAGUUGAAUUAAAAAAAAAAAAGACGAAUUCAACUGAAGCAAGUUUGAGACCAGGCCUAAGGAUCUGCUCUUUUGAAGAGCGACGCUGACUUUCUGUCUGACCUCAGGGAGGUUCAGUUUCUGAGGUCUAUUUUCUCUUUAAACCAUUAAGAGGCUUGUGUUUGUGUAUCUUUUCAAGUGUUCUUGGGAUAUGUGAUUUGGGAUUUGGUUAUAGGGGCUCUAAGCUGAAAACAGUUUGACCAAAAGUAUCAUCUUCAUCUUAAAGAAGUCUUGUAUAUUGUACAAAGGAAUUUAAUUUUUCAAUUUCAUACACAGCAAACACAUUUUUACACAUCUGAGGCAAAUGAUAAAAAAAGGAUAAAAGUUAACAUUUAGUUAUUUGAAUUCUUACUCUUUUUCAGGCAUCACACAACAGUUUAGUUCUUACUCUUUUUGUAUGUAAUAUAACAUUUCAUAAUAGGCAUUUGAUAUUAAACGAAUUAAGUAAGAUGUAUUUCACCCUUCACCGGUUUUGAAACUGUUGGCAUGACAUUUUAAUGAACAGUACAAAUCUGCAGUCUAAAGAAGGGCUUUAUCAUCAGCUCAGAACAGGAAAACCUAAGUAUAAUGAAGGUGGCUAAGAUGACUACUGAGAUCAUUAAUUAUGUUGUCUAAUCACUCCAGUUUCUACCUCCUUUUGGCCUCAAAAGUAAAAAAAAAAAAUCUACUUGCAAGGAAAAAAAAAAGUCUCCUUGACUAGAAAGGAAGUUUGAAUGUUGUACCUUACUGCAAACUCUUAGAAGAGGAAAUAAAACUGCCAUUUAAAUAUGUUGUUAAUGAACUUUGGCGUGACUAUGCUAUAUGAAUCAGCGAGUUUCAAAAUUAAAAUUACUUCUGAAU